CACGUAGGGCGCAAGCGUCGUCCGGAAUUAUUGGGCGUAAAGAGCUCGUAGGCGGUCUGUCGCGUCUGCUGUGAAAACCUGGGGCUUAACCCCGGGCCUGCAGUGGGUACGGGCAGACUAGAGUGUGGUAGGGGAGACUGGAAUUCCUGGUGUAGCGGUGAAAUGCGCAGAUAUCAGGAGGAACACCGGUGGCGAAGGCGGGUCUCUGGGCCAUAACUGACGCUGAGGAGCGAAAGCGUGGGGAGCGAACAGG
rnacentral:rRNA from 1 species